rnacentral:tRNA from 1 species
GGCGUAGCUCAGUUGGUUUAGAGCACAGCACUCAUAAGGCUGGGGUCGUGGGUUCGAUCCCCACCCCUGCUA